UGUUGGAGUAUAGAGGAAAAUGAGAGUAAGAAUGAGAGUGAUGAUGAGAUUGAGAGAAAGGAUGAGAUAGGUGUUUUCACUUUUGUUACUCAUCCCUCUCAUCUUCCCUCUCCAAUUCCAUCUUCACUCUCAUUC
rnacentral:miRNA from 1 species